AGUGAGGGGUACUACCUCCGAAUGGCUCAGGGUCGGUGAUGGGGAAAUCCUGGCGUGGAGUAGGAAAAAUUGCUGGAUUGGGAGAGGCAUAAGAAGCUGCAGCCGAGGUAGUUAGAGCUGAGAUCUGGCAUGCUAACUCAGAGACAUGAUGAGCCAUGGACUGAUUGCUCUCUACUAACGCCCGAAUGAGCUGGUUGUGUUGACCCAGGAGGGAACCAUGACUAGACAGGGCAUGAUGGACUGUGGCGGGAUCCGCUCCAGUGCCUGCGGGGUUUAUUCUUGGCCAGUUCUUCUGUUCGGUUUCCCGAGAAGUGACUGGAGAUGAGAACCCGCUAUGCAAGCACUAAAACCGAGACAGUGGUGAAGUGUCAAAAAAAGGCUUUAUUUUGUCCACGACACUGACAAGGAGUUGACGAAGCACACGUAGAGGGAAGACGUGGAGCUGGAUUCCGGGAAUCAGAAUGUCAUUGGGUUUAUCCCUGGUUAGGCUUGUCAUACUGAUGGACAGGGACAGUUGGGUUUUCUGGCUUCAAAUCAAGGCCAGCACUCAGCCUUUGAGACAACGCUGCAUUCAAUGAAGGGGUCCAUUCCACCGGUUAACUGAAGGAGGAUCCAGGGGAGGAAAACCGCUCACACAGUCCAGUCCCCUCGUGUCGCUGAGCAGUGAGCAGCGCUACUGUGAAGCUCCUGUUUCACCAUUUUAUUACUAAUGAUCCAUUGUUCACAGCUCUCACUCACUCUCAAAUGUUACAAAAAUAGUCCUUUCAUAAAAAACGAAAUAUGUGUUUGUUUUUUUAAGUUUAAACCAGUAUGAAGAACUUCCACAAUAUGUUUACAGAUCAGGUGUCUACCUAUAGUGUCAAAGAAGAAAACGUAAGCCAAGUACAGGAAAUAUACAGCCCUAAUGAUUCCAGAUUAAAUGGACUGUAUUCUCCUCCAGACAUUUUGUUUAGUGUAGUAUAGUUUACAGAACUUUUUGUUUAGUACAUGAAUUAAAAGCGUAAACAGCAUUUUUUGUUAAAUCAGGUGUCCAACUAAUGCAUUGAAAAACAAUUUUAAUGUGUAAGCAUGUGCCUUUUAAUGUAUCAUUCUGUGUUUUAAAAAGUAUUCAAAUAUUGUAAUCAUGCUAGUAUCCCAGAAGUAGAAUUUUGAGGUACAUGUACUUGGGUAUUUCCAUUAUCUGCUAUUUUAUAAUUCUACUUCACUGCAAUUCCAAGGGAAAUAUGGUAAUUCUUACUCAACUACAUUUAAUUGACACGUGUUGCUACUAGCUACGUUUUACAAUGUGACUAUAAGGGAAUACUGUUACCUUCUUUGUGUAUCCUGAUUACGUAAUCCCAUUUCAAGUAAAACACUUCUCUCUAA